rnacentral:lncRNA from 1 species
UUUUGCAACCCUAAAAACUCACAAAACAUCCACCAAACCGUAGCUGAAAGCAAGGGUUCGAGUAGAUUGACACCCCUUCACGAAAAUGAGCAUAACUCACUCAAUUCUUAUCCGAUUCACUCGAUUCUUUUUCCUACUUGCUUGUAUAAUCAUGGGGUUCGAUUCCUAGACUUCUCCUUGGAGAAAUCAGACCUGGAAAUGCCCCGAAAUAGUCCAUAAACUUUCUGUUUGUUUUUGUGUUCAUCAAAAACUUGUUUAAACCUAUGCAACUUGUGUCUAACACAUCUCAUACCUAUGUCCUAAUGCUUACAACUUAUCCCAUGGUUGGUUAAGCUUAAAAACAAGGUUGAGACAUUUAAAAUCAGAGGAUUAAACCUCAUAAACUUGGUGUUUUGUUUAGGGUUUUUAACCCACAAGUCAUGUCAAACUUUGUCUUUGAUACAUGAGUGAUUAUGGAACAACUUGGGUUGUCCAAACAUACAAUCCUCACAUGAUUUGAUGAUUUCUCUUAGUUAGUGUGUAUAUUUCUUAUUCUUUAUUGUAUGUUCAUGACCCUCCUUGGUUGUUUUUUUACAUCAAGUGUAGUGGUGAACACAUAGAGGUGUCUAAAUGGAAGACUUGAUCUUCCUACCUCCUACAUGACUUCUAUGACAUUUAGAGGUACCAAAAUGAAGAUUUUAAUCUUCUACCUCAUGCUUGAACUAUUGGACAUAUAUUAUAUAACCUAAAUAUAUUAUUCGAAUAAUCGAAUCUUUGAUGAUGAACUAGUGUUCAUAUGUCGGGGUACUAGAUUACAUCAUCCUAGACUAUGAUAACUUGUCACGAUUCUAAUGGAACCUUGUUCCAUGAAAACAUCUAAACUCCUUCGAGUUUCCUAGUGUCAAGAACAAGCAUCAUAUGUUCUAAAUGAUUAUUUUCCAUGUUAUUCUCAUAUCUUAUUUUUAUGUUGUUUUAAACACCGAAUCUCGACUCUAAACAUACUUGAACUUUAACCCUUAUACAUUCGAACUCUAAAUCUCUACUCGUCAACAAUUGGAUAAUCGGAAAACAUAUGCAAACUUUGUUGAUGAGGACGAUGCUAAGAAAAGAAAUAGCGUUGAUGCCUAGAUACACAUAUAGACGUUAGGGUUUAAUAUGUUGUAUCAAAUUUUGUUAUGUUAUCAUGUUGUUUCGUGAAACUUGUUGUAUUUGAAUUUCUUGUAAUGUUGACUAUUUGAAGUUAUGAAAUGAAAUGAAAUUUGGAUU